CUUUUAAAUUCUACCUUCCCAUCUCAAGCUUAUCACUAAUCUUCUCUUUGCAGCUCACAACCAAAGAAUGCAGGAUCCCAAGUAUGCAUAUCCUUAUCCUGCUCAAGCCUUGCUGCUCUUUGCUGCUGCUUUCUUAUUGAUGAGUGUUGCUGUGAUCCAUCUAUCCUAUUUAUCUGCUGAUAUCACUGCUCAAUCUUGAAGUAUUUGCUGCCUUUAAACCCACUUGAAGUUUCUGCUGUGAAGCUGUAAUCAAGCUUGAAAGUGUUUCAGCAUCUUUAUUUAGAGAAACUUCCAUAAAAUUAUGUUCUAUUGUGGUUAGUAGUGAUAGUCCCAACAACAUUAAUAAGUAGUUUCAUGGAAGAA